AUAUCUUGAUGCACGCAUGAUUACCAAUAUCAUUAGAGGAUCAGUUAGGACAAAGAUAUUCAUAUCCAUAUCAGCCUGUCUGGCUUACGUAUUUGAUGCAUGGCAGUGCGAGGCUUCUUAUAGGAAGACGUGGAUAGCUAAACAACUUAUUAUGGGCGAGUUGUUUGAAGAUUGGAUAGAGUUCUAUAACAUAUUAGAUCCUUGGCUAGCUGCAGUUUGUCGUACCA
rnacentral:lncRNA from 1 species